rnacentral:lncRNA from 10 species
CUGCUACUUGAUUGAUACCUUAUUUUACAUGUUAUGUCAGUUACAUUAUCAAUCUGAAUUUUAUAGCAUAUUUAUGCUAGUACAAAUUUUAAACAAAUAUCUGAGAUCAGGACUUUUCCCCCUUUUCUUUUAAGAAGUAACUAAUAUCUGCUCCUAUUUCUAAAUCAGACAUUGGAUGAUUCUCUUCCAUCAUGCAGACUGCAUGGAAAAGCCUUGAAUUAAUAGACGGGCAUGUGACAGAGUUCUGGCCAACAGGAUUUCAGGAACAGAGAAGUUGCUUUGGGGAAGGAUUCUGCUUCCUAAUAAACGAAGGUGCUGGCAAAGAUAUUGACAUCUAGCUUCCUUGAACGUGGGAGAAUGUGACGUUUGGAGCUGCAUCAAUCAUCUUGUGACCUUAAAGAGACAAGCCUGAGGAUAAGAAGACAUGGAGGAGGGCAGAGCGAAGGCCAGGAGGAAGCCUGGAUCCUGACCAUACGGCUGAGCUACAGAUCAGUUUCUAAGGCCAGACUUCUGGCUAUGUUAGGGAUUGAUUGAGUUAUCACCCAAACCAGGAUCCUUUUCAGAAUGGAAGUGGGUACUAUCAGAAAUAGCACAAAUACAAACAUGGCACAGUGGGACAUGUGGUCAGCCCUAUGUGAGGUCUCGGAGUGUUAUUAUUGCUGUCACAAAUAUUCUACUACUUGCAACCCAAAUCAGUCCUAGCUUAUAUAUAUAUAAUAUAUAAAUUAUAUAUUUUAAUUAUCUAUUUAUAGCAUACAUAUGGCUAAAAUAUGUAUAAUAAAUAUGCAAUAAAAUGUAUAUAAUAACAUAAAUGCAUUUAUACAUGUAUAUGUAUGUGUGUGUAUAUGUGUGUGUGUAUAUGUGUAUAUA